rnacentral:rRNA from 1 species
GACGUAGGGGGCAAGCGUUGUCCGGAAUCACUGGGCGUAAAGCGCGCGCAGGCGGCGAUCUGCGUCUGGGGUGAAAGCCCGGAGCUCAACUCCGGGACUGCCUUGGAUACGGGGUCGCUUGAGGAUCGGAGAGGCAAGGGGAAUUCCACGUGUAGCGGUGAAAUGCGUAGAGAUGUGGAGGAACACCUGUGGCGAAGGCGCCUUGCUGGCCGAUUUCUGACGCUGAGGCGCGAAAGCGUGGGGAGCAAACAGG